rnacentral:rRNA from 1 species
GAUGAACGCUGGCGGCGUGCCUAAUACAUGCAAGUCGAGCGAACGGACGAGAAGCUUGCUUCUCUGAUGUUAGCGGCGGACGGGUGAGUAACACGUGGAUAACCUACCUAUAAGACUGGGAUAACUUCGGGAAACCGGAGCUAAUACCGGAUAAUAUCUUGAACCGCAUGGUUCAAAAGUGAAAGACGGUCUUGCUGUCACUUCUAGAUGGAUCUGCGCUGCAUUAGCUAGUUGGUAGGGUAACGGCUUACCAAGGCAACGAGGCAUAGCCGACGUGUGAGGGUGAUCGGCGACACUGGAGGGGGAACACGGUCAAGACGCCUACGAGAGGCAGCAGUAGCGAAUCGUCCGCAGUGGGCGAGAGCCUGGCGGAGCGACGCCACGUGAGUGGUGAAGGUGUUCGGAUCGUAAAACUCUGUUAUUAGGGGAGAACAUAUGUGUAAGGAGCUGUGCACAUAUUGACGGUACCUAAUCAGAAAGCCACGGCUAACUACGUG